GAUGAACGCUGGCGGCGUGCCUAAUACAUGCAAGUCGAGCGAAUGGAUUAAGAGCUUGCUCUUAUGAAGUUAGCGGCGGACGGGUGAGUAACACGUGGGUAACCUGCCCAUAAGACUGGGAUAACUCCGGGAAACCGGGGCUAAUACCGGAUAACAUUUUGAACCGCAUGGUUCGAAAUUGAAAGGCGGCUUCGGCUGUCACUUAUGGAUGGACCCGCGUCGCAUUAGCUAGUUGGUGAGGUAACGGCUCACCAAGGCAACGAUGCGUAGCCGACAUGGGAGGGUGAUCGGCCACACUGGGACUGAGACACGGCCCAGAUUCCUACGGGAGGCAGCAGUAGCGAAUCUUCCGCAAUGGACGAAAGUCUGACGGAGCACCGCCGCGUGAGUGAUGAAGGCUCUCGGGUCGUAAAACUCUGUUGUUAGGGAAGAACAAGUGCUAGUUGAAUAAGCUGGCACCUUGACGGUACCUAACCAGAAAGCCACGGCUAACUACGUGCCAGCAGCCGCCGUAA
rnacentral:rRNA from 1 species